AGAAUGUUAUCACGGGAGACACACGGCGGGUGCUAACGUCCGUCGUGAAGAGGGAAACAACCCAGACCGCCAGCUAAGGUCCCAAAGUCAUGGUUAAGUGGGAAACGAUGUGGGAAGGCCCAGACAGCCAGGAUGUUGGCUUAGAAGCAGCCAUCAUUUAAAGAAAGCGUAAUAGCUCACUGGUCGAGUCGGCCUGCGCGGAAGAUGUAACGGGGCUAAACCAUGCACCGAAGCUGCGGCAGCGACACUGUGUGUUGUUGGGUAGGGGAGCGUUCUGUAAGCCUGYGAAGGUGGCCUGUGAGGGUUGCUGGAGGUAUCAGAAGUGCGAAUGCUGACAUAAGUAACGAUAAAGCGGGUGAAAAGCCCGCUCGCCGGAAGACCAAGGGUUCCUGUCCAACGUUAAUCGGGGCAGGGUGAGUCGACCCCUAAGGCGAGGCCGAAAGGCGUAGUCGAUGGGAAACGGGUUAAUAUUCCCGUACUUGGUGUUACUGCGAAGGGGGGACGG
rnacentral:rRNA from 1 species